CGUACACCCAAUGUUUAAUGAGGUUGUAUGCCGAGGAGACACAGACGAUGCUGGCCAACGUAGUUUCAGUUACCGACAGUGACCUUUGUGUAUCACAAAAUAGAAGUCAACAACAGUAUUUCUCAUUGCAGCAUGAGCAACACGCACAGGUAAUGUUGAAGGAAAAUGAUGCAUAAAUCUCACCCAGUGACUCCGGCUGCAGCAUUGCUUCAAACAUGAAUUAUUUCAGGGUUAUCAUCUUCUGUCGCCUCAAUCUCCUUGUCUCCCGUUCUCCCGUGAUCAGCACUCCUCCGGCUCCACUACAGAACGGAGAUCUGAGCUCUGUGUUACACAUGCAGCCGCAGCGAAGACAGCACUCUAGGAUACCAGGAGCACCUCUGGCUGCUGAAUCGCCGACUGGAAACUGGAUCCGUGCUAAAAAUAAAAAAACAUCACCAGCAUAACGAGAAAGGAGGUGUGUCACUCACUGUGUGUAUGCUUGUGUAGGGUCACAGAGGGGCAGCCCACCCCCCAUAUACUCAACACACACACACAUUCACAUACACACAGGUUUAUCAUAUGUCAACAUUUCCUUGAAGUUUCCCCCUCAUGUGCAUGACAGCCUCAAGGUCUUCCUCUCAGCCUCCCGUGGUCACAUGUGUGUCAUUUUCAAGAUUGCUCUGCAGAUUUUUUUUAUUGCCAUUAUCAUUCACAUGCUCACACAAGGUUAAAAGCGGCAAGGACCCUUAUCAAGAGCUCAGUGCUUCACUGUGUCAUCUGGUUACAUCACAUGACAACAUCCCUGACCUCCAGCGCACCCAAAAUACACAAACACACAUGCACAUACACAAGGCUGUCUGGCAGAAAAACAGCACAUGUCCUACCCCUGAACGCUGUACGAGUUAGACAUGUUUAAUUUGAGUUGGCGUGAGACAACGUGUUUCCCUUUAAAAAAUAAAUAAAACAACUCAUUACAUUCAUCACAUCAACACGCAGGCUGUAGCAACCACGUGAAUCUCUCCGUCACGGUUGUCAGCAACACAGCAUGAGGCCUUCAGUCAAUGUCUGUUUUGUCAGCCUUGACUUUAGUGGCCUUGUUUUUCUGGCAGGCUAAACUGGCAUUGGCUGACUUCAAUGGCAGAAAUCAAAACUGAUAAGAUGAGAGAGUACAGUAGGUAAAAGGUUUGAGUAGAUGAAUACGAUGGAAAUGUGUGGGCCCUGCAUGUAAAUGACCAUGGAUUUGUUUUUUGUUUUGUUUUUUUAUUAUCUACGUUGUGUCCUUGUGAGAAGCAGAGAAAUUACAAGACAACUGAAGAACUGACAGAGUCAAAAGUAGAGGUGCCGUCAAAUCAAAGAGAAAAAAACUGACAAAGAAAUGCACAGAGGUUUUCCAAACUGUGAGAGAGGACUAAACAAAGUGGUUGUGCCAAAUAAAUUAGCUUCACAGAACAGAACAAAGCCUAACUAUCCACUGCCUUCAACAACAAACACCGACUUCUCUGAAGAAGAAAAGAGAAAGAAGACAAGGCUGGCACAAACCACACUAACCUGGUGUGUCUAACAAAAGAUCUGUGAGUGCAAAAGUGUACGGAUACCCAAACUUUACCUACGUCCAACUUCCCACCACAAACCUCCUCAGUUACAAACAGCAUGAGCAGCUGACAGUAAGGAUGUCAGAGGGGGAGUGAUGUCUCUGUGGUGUGUCUUAAUUAAGCAUCUACAGGGAAACUGGCAAAGGAGAUGAGACACAGGAUUUCCUCAGACCCCCCUUUAACACUGGGAAUUAGGGAAACUUGCUCCCCUUGAGAGUAAAAGAAAGUGGGGUUAAUGGUGUUUCACUGAAGUCUUCACAGCCUUGACUAAAACUGGUGUUAGCUUUUUAACAAACAAGGUGUUUAGACUGUGUGCACAUGGUGAGGUUAGCUCACUGUGGGACUGCAAAAAGAAAGCUGCAGAAGGAUCCUCAGAAAUAAGCAGGGACAAGCUAACACUUACAUUAUUGUUUUGAUUUUUUUCAUUAUUUUAAUUAUUAUUUUAAUCAUUAUUAUUUUAAUCAUU